rnacentral:rRNA from 1 species
GAUGAACGCUGGCGGCGUGCCUAAUACAUGCAAGUCGAGCGAACGGACGAGAAGCUUGCUUCUCUGAUGUUAGCGGCGGACGGGUGAGUAACACGUGGAUAACCUACCUAUAAGACUGGGAUAACUUCGGGAAACCGGAGCUAAUACCGGAUGAUAUUUUGAACCGCAUGGUUCAAAAGUGAAAGACGGUCUUGCCGUCACUUAUAGAUGGAUCCGCGCUGCAUUAGCUAGUUGGUAAGGUAACGGCUUACCAAGGCAACGAUGCAUAGCCGACCUGAGAGGGUGAUCGGCCACACUGGAACUGAGACACGGUCCAGACUCCUACGGGAGGCAGCAGUAGGGAAUCUUCCGCAAAGGGCGAAAGCCUGACGGAGCAACGCCGCGUGAGUGAUGAAGGUCUUCGGAUCGUAAAACUCUGUUAUUAGGGAAGAACAUAUGUGUAAGUAACUGUGCACAUCUUGACGGUACCUAAUCAGAAAGCCACGGCUAACUACGUG